rnacentral:rRNA from 1 species
GGGUGAGUAAUGCAUGGAUAACCUACCCUCAACACCGGGAUAACUGCUGGAAACGGCAGCUAAUACCGGAGCCAGGCGGGGGGGACGCAUGCCCCUCUCGUCGAAGGUAGCUCCUUCGGGAGCCUCCGGUUGGGGAGGGGUCCAUGUCCUAUUAGCUUGUUGGUGGGGUAACGGCCCACCAAGGCUGUGAUGGGUAGCCGGACUGAGAGGUUGGUCGGCCACACUGGGACUGAGACACUGCCCAGACUCCUACGGGAGGCUGCAGUCGAGGAUAUUCCGCAAUGGGCGCAAGCCUGACGGAGUGACGCCGCGUGGGGGAUGAAGGCCUUCGGGUUGUAAACCCCUGUCUCCUGUCAGGAAUCAGGUCGGGUGAAUAGCCUGGCCUGUGACGAAAGCAGGAGAGGAAGCCACGGCUAAUUACGUGCCAGCAGCCGCGGUAAGACGUAAGUGGCAAGCGUUGCUCGGAAUUACUGGGCAUAAAGCGUCCGUAGGCGGUUUGGUCAGUCGGGUGUGAAAGCCCCGGGCUCAACCCGGGAACUGCGCCCGAUACUGCCGAGCUUGAGGGCCGGAGGGGGGUGUGGAAUUCCUGGUGGAGCGGUGAAAUGCGUUGAGAUCAGGAGGAACGCCGGUGGCGAAAGCGACACCCUGGCCGGUUUCUGACGCUGAGGGACGAAAGCUAGGGGAGCGAACGGGAUUAGAUACCCCGGUAGUCCUAGCCGUAAACGAUGGGCACUAGGUAUGGGGCGUAUCCGAUGCGCUCCGUGCUGAAGCUAAUGUGUUAAGUGCCCCGCCUGGGGAGUACGGCCGCAAGGCUAAAACUCAAAGGAAUUGACGGGGGCUCACACAAGCGGUGGAGCAUGUUGCUUAAUUCGAAGCAACGCGAAGAACCUUACCUGGGCUUGACAUGCUGGUGGUACGGACCCGAAAGGGCGAGGACCCGUUUAGGGAGCCAGCACAGGUGUUGCAUGGCUGUCGUCAGCUCGUGUCGUGAGAUGUUGGGUUAAGUCCCGUAACGAGCGAAACCCCUGUCCUUAGUUGCCAGCGGGUAAUGCCGGGAACUCUAAGGAGACUGCCGGUGUUAAACCGGAGGAAGGCGGGGACGACGUCAAGUCAUCAUGGCCCUUAUGUCCAGGGCGGCAAACGUGCUACAAUGGCCGGUACGAAGGGCUUGCAAGACCGUGAGGUGGAGCCAAUCCCAAAAAACCGGCCCCAGUUCAGAUUGGAGGCUGAAACUCGCCUCCAUGAAGGUGGAAUCGCUAGUAAUCGGAGGUCAGCCACACUCCGGUGAAU